GCAAGUCGAGCGCAGUCCUUCGGGACCGAGCGGCGGACGGGUUAGUAACGCGUGGGAACAUACCCUUUUCUACGGAAUAGCCUCGGGAAACUGAGAGUAAUACCGUAUACGCCCUUCGGGGGAAAGAUUUAUCGGUGAAGGAUUGGCCCGCGUUAGAUUAGAUAGUUGGUGGGGUAAUGGCCUACCAUGGCGACGAUCCAUAGCUGGUUUGAGAGGAUGAUC
rnacentral:rRNA from 1 species